UCAGAUAAAUACCACUUUGUCUCUUUAGGUGCUACAUAUUUUUCUCAUAUUGCUAAAUAGUUAUUUGAUACUUCUUUUCUCUUACUUUUGAAACUUCCGUUUUGGGGUUUUUCUUGCUACUGGUGUCAAGUUUUCCAUGGGUUGUCACAUCUUCAUGCUGAUACAAUAACAACAUGCCCAGUGUAAUCUCACCAGUGGGAUCUGGGGAGGUUAGAUUAUACAUAUUCCUUAUCUCUAUCUCGUAGAGAUAGAGAGGUUGUUUCCAAAAGACCCUCACCUUGAAUAAUCCUACCAAACAGUUUAAAAUAUCCUUAUCUUCAUGCUGAUAUAUUCUGGAAUUUCUUUUCUUGGUUGUGGGAUUAAGUCAAAUGAUUGAUGGUUUAUUUUUAUAUUCAACUUUUAGUUUUAAAUAGUAUACAUGAGUGGUGUAAAUCUUUUAGUACUUUCCUUCUGUCUCUUCUGUUCCUUCACCAUUUUGUGGUGUCUUGUUAUUUAAGUUAUUUUUUCUAACAUUUGUAAUUCUUGAUGUUGAUCCAUGUGAUUUUUUUAUAGGUAUGUUGAUCCAUGUGAUUGAUAUAUUGUCUUUCUCCAUUAAUCAAUUUGCAAGGAACCAGGAGAGAGAAAAGUUUGGUGUCUUGUUAUUGUUUGUAUUCUAUGCAUUUGAUUUGGACGGAGUCGUAUGGUUAGUACUCUUCAGAAGUUGCAAAAGGAAGGGAAUGGAAGACAAAAGUUGAGAAAAUAAAAACAUUUCUCUCUCUCCUAGUUUGGUUAUGAGGUGAUGGAAGCUUUAGAAAGAGACCAUAGGAGGAUAAGCGAGGGAAGAAAAUCAUUUUCUUUUUGCUUUCUCUUAUUUUCCUAACUAUUCAAGCAAGUGUUUUUUUUAUACAAGGUAAAGUGUUAGAUCAAUGAAGUUUUGAUUAUUGACUUGUAAAUGAAACACGUCACUCAAGCUGGUCCAAUCACAUGAAGACAAAGGACAGACCUUACUAAGGAAAACGGACAAGUUUUAUUGAACGCAAGAAUGGAUAAGCUCUCUUGAUGGAUCACGUGUGAUAAAUAAGAAGUUGUAGUUGACUACAAUACUUUAUUAAUAAGUUGAAGAAAGACUUUUACCUAUGCAAGGAGUUUUACUUGAAGGAGGACUUUGAAGUUUAGGUUGAAAAAGAACUCUGAAUAGACAACAAACUGGGUUGCGUUGAAAAGUCCAUAACAAAGUAGAAGACUGAUGAAUUUAAAGAAAUCUUUGGAGAAUUUUUAUAUAUCGAGGGAGUAACUCAUUUAGUCACUCAUACACUAACAAAGAUAGCAACAUAUCGACAAAUUAUCUGUGAAGUUCCAAAGCUUGAAGCAGUCGAAGUUGAACCUGUUCCUAUUACUUAGAGUUAAGGAGUCUUUAGACUUUAUGUAUUAGGAUGGUUCUUGAGUUGUAGUGUUUUCUAGUCUCAGUGAAGUAUAAACUGACUUAGGAGCUUUGUCUUCAAGUUUGAAAACUUGAAGACUUGGGAACACUCAUCUUGGGAAGGUUUGUGUUUUUGUUGUAAUAGAAGUUAGAGUUUAAUUCCUAGAUUACAAGAGUCUUGUAAUUUGUUGAUUGUUGAUGCUCAAUUGUUUUAGUGGAAUUGGGGUUAAAUCCUGUAGAGGUACAGGUCAUAGUUUUUUACA
rnacentral:lncRNA from 1 species